CAGUCGGUCUGUCCAUCAAUCAGCCAGUCAAUCAGCCGGUCAAUCAAUCAGCCAGUCAGUCGGUCUGUCCAUCAAUUAGCCAGUCGAUCAGCCAGUCAGUCAUUCGGUCAAUCAGCCUGUCAAUCAGCUGUUCAAUCAGUCAGUCAGUAUAUUAAUCAAUCAGUCAGUCAGUCAGUAUAUUAAUCAAUCAGUGAGUCAGUCAGUAUAUUAAUCAAUCAGUCAGUCAGUCAGUAUAUUAAUCAAUCAGUCAGUCAGUCAGUAUAUUAAUCAAUCAGUCAGUCAGUAUAUUAAUAAAUCAGUCAGUCAGUCAGUAUAUUAAUCAAUCAGUCAGUCAGUCAGUAUAUUAAUCAAUCAGUCAGUCAGUCAGUAUAUUAAUCAAUCAGUGAGUCAGUCAGUAUAUUAAUCAAUCAGUCAGUCAGUCAGUAUAUUAAUCAAUCAGUCAGUCAGUCAGUAUAUUAAUCAAUCAGUCAGUCAGUAUAUUAAUAAAUCAGUCAGUCAGUCAGUCAGUAUAUUAAUCAAUCAGUCAGUCCGUCAGUAUAUUAAUCAAUCAGUCAGUCAGUCAGUAUAUUAAUAAAUCAGUCAGUCAGUCAGUAUAUUAAUCAGUCAGUCAGUCAGUAUAUUAAUAAAUCAGUCAGUAUAUUAAUCAGUCAGUCAGUCAGUAUAUUAAUCAGUCAGUCAGUCAGUAUAUUAAUCAGUCAGUCAGUCAGUAUAUUAAUAAAUCAGUCAGUCAGUCAGUAUAUUAAUCAAUCAGUCAGUCAGUCAGUAUAUUAAUCAAUCAGUCAGUCAGUCAGUAUAUUAAUCAAUCAGUCAGUCAGUCAGUAUAUUAAUCAAUCAGUGAGUCAGUCAGUAUAUUAAUCAAUCAGUCAGUCAGUCAGUAUAUUAAUCAAUCAGUCAGUCAGUCAGUAUAUUAAUCAAUCAGUCAGUCAGUCAGUAUAUUAAUCAAUCAGUGAGUCAGUCAGUAUAUUAAUCAAUCAAUCAGUCAGUCAGUAUAUUAAUCAAUCAGUCAGUCAGUAUAUUAAUCAAUCAGUCAGUCAGUAUAUUAAUCAAUCAGUCAGUCAGUCAGUAUAUUAAUAAAUCAGUCAGUCAGUCAGUAUAUUAAUCAAUCAGUGAGUCAGUCAGUAUAUUAAUCAAUCAGUCAGUCAGUAUAUUAAUAAAUCAGUCAGUCAGUCAGUAUAUUAAUCAGUCAGAUGUACCAAUCAAUCAGAUGUAUUGAUAAAGCCCUUUUUACAUCAGAAGUUUCUUCAAGAAUGUUUAAAAAUAACCCCACGUUGACCCCAAAGAGCAGAAACACAGAGGUCAAGGAUGGGUGGUAACAUCCUCUAAAACCUCACCCUCCCAGGAGACUAACGCAAUGUUGCUAAAUGUUUCCAGCUCUGAAUUGACUCAUAAUGUAGCGUCGUCAAGCCCAUGUACUGCCCUUAUUACGACCAGGUCACAUGUCUUCCAUGUACUGCCCUUAUUACGACCAGGUCACAUGUCUUCCAUGUACUGCCCUUAUUACGACCAGGUCACAUGUCUUCCAUGUACUGCCCUUAUUACGACCAGGUCACAUGUCUUCCAUGUACUGCCCUUAUUACGACCAGGUCACAUGUCUUCCAUGUACUGCCCUCGUUACGACCAGGUCACAUGUCUUCCAUGUACUGCCCUUAUUACGACCAGGUCACAUGUCUUCCAUGUACUGCCCUUGUUACGACCAGGUCACAUGUCUUCCAUGUACUGCCCUCGUUACGACCAGGUCACAUGUCUUCCAUGUACUGCCCUUAUUACGACCAGGUCACAUGUCUUCCAUGUACUGCCCUCGUUACGACCAGGUCACAUGUCUUCCAUGUACUGCCCUUAUUACGACCAGGUCACAUGUCUUCCAUGUACUGCCCUUAUUACGACCAGGUCACAUGUCUUCCAUGUACUGCCCUUAUUACGACCAGGUCACAUGUCUUCCAUGUACUGCCCUUAUUACGACCAGGUCACAUGUCUUCCAUGUACUGCCCUCGUUACGACCAGGUCACAUGUCUUCCAUGUACUGCCCUUAUUACGACCAGGUCACAUGUCUUCCAUGUACUGCCCUCGUUACGACCAGGUCACAUGUCUUCCAUGUACUGCCCUUAUUACGACCAGGUCACAUGUCUUCCAUGUACUGCCCUCGUUACGACCAGGUCACAUGUCACUCCGUCUUCCAAAGUUCACCCCCUCUUUGCC